rnacentral:rRNA from 1 species
AGAGUUUGAUCCUGGCUCAGGAUGAACGCUGGCGGCGUGCCUAAUACAUGCAAGUCGAGCGAACAGAUGAGAAGCUUGCUUCUCUGAUGUUAGCGGCGGACGGGUGAGUAACACGUGGGUAACCUACCUAUAAGACUGGGAUAACUCCGGGAAACCGGGGCUAAUACCGGAUAAUAUUUUGAACCGCAUGGUUCAAUAGUGAAAGACGGUUUCGGCUGUCACUUAUAGAUGGACCCGCGCCGUAUUAGCUAGUUGGUAAGGUAACGGCUUACCAAGGCGACGAUACGUAGCCGACCUGAGAGGGUGAUCGGCCACACUGGAACUGAGACACGGUUCAGACUCCUACGGGAGGCAGCAGUAGGGAAUCUUCCGCAAUGGGCGAAAGCCUGACGGAGCAACGCCGCGUGAGUGAUGAAGGUCUUCGGAUCGUAAAACUCUGUUGUUAGGGAAGAACAAAUUUGUUAGUAACUGAACAAGUCUUGACGGUACCUAACCAGAAAGCCACGGCUAACUACGUGCCAGCAGCCGCGGUAAUACGUAGGUGGCAAGCGUUAUCCGGAAUUAUUGGGCGUAAAGCGCGCGUAGGCGGUUUCUUAAGUCUGAUGUGAAAGCCCACGG